CCUACGGGAGGCAGCAGUGAGGAAUAUUGGUCAAUGGACGAGAGUCUGAACCAGCCAAGUAGCGUGAAGGAUGACUGCCCUAUGGGUUGUAAACUUCUUUUAUAUGGGAAUAAAAUGUUCCACGUGUGGGAUUUUGUAUGUACCAUAUGAAUAAGGAUCGGCUAACUCCGUGCCAGCAGCCGCGGUAAUACGGAGGAUCCGAGCGUUAUCCGGAUUUAUUGGGUUUAAAGGGAGCGUAGGUGGAUUGUUAAGUCAGUUGUGAAAGUUUGCGGCUCAACCGUAAAAUUGCAGUUGAAACUGGCAGUCUUGAGUACAGUAGAGGUGAGCGGAAUUCGAUGUGUAGCGGUGAAAUGCUUAGAUAUCACGAAGAACUCCGAUUGCGAAGGCAGUUCACUGGACUGCAACUGACACUGAGGCUCGAAAGUGUGGGUAUCAAACAGGAUUAGAUACCCCAGUAGUC
rnacentral:rRNA from 1 species